UCCCUGGGAAUUCCAGACAGGAAACAAUCAGGGCCAGCUAAUACCUCCCAACAAAGGAUUCCCCCAGGUAGUAUGAUAAUGGGUUAAACCCUUGUGCCAGCAGGACUGCUGACUGACAACUUGGUGGUUCGAAUCCAGGGAGAGUGGGUAAGCUCCCUCUGUCAGCACAAGCUCCCCAUGCGGGAACAUGAGAGAAGCCUCCCACAAGCAGGGGCGGCUUCUGUGGCAGGCAUCUAAAAAACUCUAAAAUCAGGACAACACUUUAGAAGACUGGGGAAUUCCAGACAAGAAACAAUCAGGGCCAACUAAUACCUCCUAACAAAGGUUUUCCCCAGACAAGAAGCAGCCAGGCUUUGAAGCUGCAAGGCUAUUCAAUGCUAAUCAAGGUGACCAAUUGCAACAUUCACACUUGCCUCCCACAGACAAGAGUUCUUUCUCCCACCCUGGACCUUCCACAGAUAUAAACCCCACUUGCCUAGCUUCACACAGACGUCAAAACCUCUGAGUAUGUCUGCCACAGAUGUGGGUGAAACGUCAGGAGAGAAUGCUUCUGGCACAUGGCCAUAGAGCCCGGAAAACUCAUAGCAACCCAGCCAGUAGGCUGUUGCUGAACAACCUAUGAACUUUUAGCAUUAAAGGAAAAAAUGCCCAAGAUUUUAUCACUUAAUACUGUUGGCAUGUCUGGAGAAGAAUAGAAUGCUUCUAUACCAGGCAAGGGCAAACUUUGCCCAUGUCUGGAGUUAGGAAUUGUAGGAGUUGAAAUCCAAAACAAUUUGACAGAAAACUGGGAGUUGUAGUUUGGCAUGGUACUGGCUCUCUUCUGCAGGGAAGGCUAGGGACUUUGUAAAACUACAGCUCACAUGACAUGGCACUGAAUCUGUUGCAAUUGAGCUGGUGCCAGAAUCCUUUCCGGGAGAUCUCCUCAGUGGAGAUAUCUCUUAAAGGGAUAUCCUCUGGCUCUAAGGAUUCCGUUUAGGAAGGCAAGCCUGGUUUUGGUAUUCCCCUUUAAGCCUGGCUGAAGAAGCAAAACCAAACAGCGGCUCCAGGGCGAGGCAGGGCAAGGAGAAGGCCAAGCGCAGGCAGGCAUGGCUCUUCUCUCUUCUCUUCGCUCCCUCCCUGCUUCGCGGAAGGCUUCUCCUGACCCGGUGUGUUCCGGGGGGGGGGGGGGGGCAUCCGAAGACAUCAGAAAAAAACGAAAAAAGUCACUGUGAGAGUUACUAACGACACAGCCAUUGGCAUUGCUCCGCUUCGUCAGGGAACAUGGGGAAUCCGGCACGGCACGCCCCACAUGGCCUGGAUUCAGGUGAGGGCAAUCAC
rnacentral:lncRNA from 1 species